rnacentral:rRNA from 1 species
AACGAACGCUGGCGGCAUGCCUAACACAUGCAAGUCGAACGAGACCUUCGGGUCUAGGGGCGCACGGGUGCGUAACGCGUGGGAACCUGCCCUUAGGUUCGGAAUAACUCCCCGAAAGGGGUGCUAAUACCGGAUAAUGUCUUCGGACCAAAGAUUUAUCGCCUUUGGAUGGGCCCGCGUUGGAUUAGCUAGUUGGUAGGGUAAAAGCCUACCAAGGCGACGAUCCAUAGCUGGUCUGAGAGGAUGAUCAGCCACACUGGGACUGAGACACGGCCCAGACUCCUACGGGAGGCAGCAGUGGGGAAUAUUGGACAAUGGGCGAAAGCCUGAUCCAGCAAUGCCGCGUGAGUGAUGAAGGCCUUAGGGUUGUAAAGCUCUUUUACCCGGGAUGAUAAUGACAGUACCGGGAGAAUAAGCUCCGGCUAACUCCGUG